CAAUAAGCGGAGGAAAAGAACCAACAGGGAUUGCCCCAGUAACGGCGAGUGAAGCGGCAACAGCUCAAAUUUGAAAUCCGGCCGCCUAGCGGCCCGAGUUGUAAUUUGCAGAGGACGCUCUGGGCGAGGUGCCUUCCGAGUUCCCUGGAACGGGACGCCGUAGAGGGUGAGAGCCCCGUACGGUCGGCGUCCGAGCCCGUGUAAAGCUCCUUCGACGAGUCGAGUAGUUUGGGAAUGCUGCUCCAAAUGGGAGGUAAACCCCUUCUAAAGCUAAAUACCGGCCAGAGACCGAUAGCGCACAAGUAGAGUGAUCGAAAGAUGAAAAGCACUUUGAAAAGAGAGUUAAAAAGCACGUGAAAUUGUUGAAAGGGAAGCGCUUGUGGCCAGACUUGCGCCCGGCAGCUCAGCCGUCCUUUCGGGCGGUGCACUCUGCCGGGCACAGGCCAGCAUCAGCUCCCGGUCGGGGAGAAAGGCGGUGGGAACGUGGCUCCUCGGAGUGUUAUAGCCCGCCGCCAUGCCCUUCCGGGGACUGAGGUUCGCGCACCCGCAAGGAUGCUGGCGUAAUGGCCACCAGCGACCCGUCUUGAAACACGGACCAAGGAGUCGUCCUAGUAUGCGAGUGUUCGGGUGCCAAACCCCUACGCGCAAUGAAAGUGAACGGAGGUGAGAGCUUCGGCGCAUCAUCGACCGAUCCUGAUGUUCUCGGAUGGAUUUGAGUAUGAGCAUACUGGGCCGGACCCGAAAGAAGGUGAACUAUGCUUGUAUAGGGUAAAGCCAGAGGAAACUCUGGUGGAGGCUCGCAGCGGUUCUGACGUGCAAAUCGAUCGUCAAAUAUGAGCAUGGGGGCGAAAGUAAGUCGAACCAUUGCCUCUUGAGCGGGCGGGCCGCGCGCCCGUCCGCGUCUCGCGGAAGUGAUUGAUGCUAAUCAUUAAUUUUUUACAGGACUAAUCGAACCUUCUAGUAGCUGGUUUCCGCCGAAGUUUCCCUCAGGAUAGCAGUGUUGAGCUCAGUUUUAUGAGGUAAAGCGAAUGAUUAGGGACUCGGGGGCGCUUAUUAGCCUUCAUCCAUUCUCAAACUUUAAAUAUGUAAGAAGCCCUUGUUGCUCUGGUGAACGCGGGCAUUCGAAUGUAUCAACACUAGUGGGCCAUUUUUGGUAAGCAGAACUGGCGAUGCGGGAUGAACCGAUCGCGAGGAUAAGGUGCCGGAGUGGACGCUCAUCAGACACCACAAAAGGUGUUAUCACAUCUUGACAGCAGGACGGUGGCCAUGGAAGUCGGAACCCGCUAAGGACUGUGUAACAACUCACCUGCCGAAUGUGAUAACCCUGAA
rnacentral:rRNA from 1 species